AGUGAGUGGUUUGGUUUUGUACUCUAAUUUGUGAGCAAAACCAACAAGGGUGUAUUUGGGAUUUUAUUGGGAAGUGAGGUUGAGAGUUAAAAAGUGUUCCUCUUGUAUUCCACUUGUUACCUUGUUAGUAGAAAGUGAGAUCUCCCUCCUGUGUACGUUGAUAGAGAUUUUACUACACAUAUGAACGGGCUAAAAACUUCUAUAAUACUUGCAAGAAUUACAAGGUUAUUGUAGUAUAAACGGAUCUCGCAAUGUCGUUCUCCACAUGGAUUAUUAAAUAAUUCGAAACAAACCAAAUUCCAAUUAACUAUUGCAAAGUAUAAAUUGAGAUGAUUGAUUUUAUAACCUACUUAAAUUAAAAACGAAUUUAAUUAAUAAAAGUAAACUAAUCUGCAAUAUUAAAGAUGAAAGAGAAGGACACAGUCUUGGAGAAAUCAAAUUAAGAAAGCACUAGGGUUCCACCAUCACAUAGCAAUCCUAUGAACUUUUACCAAUUACUUAUGAUCUACACAUGAUACUUUGAAGGUUAGGUUUUCUUAAUUUAUAUUCUACUUGGAACCUCAAACAUAGAACGUAUAUCUAACAUACAACCUAUCUGGACGUUCGUAUCAAAUCUGAACAUCAAAGACUCAUUAUGCUUUGUGAUUUUAUCUUUGCUUUUAUUUUUUAAGUUAUUAACUUUUUAAAUACAUAUUUCACCAUUUAUAUAAUGAUACGUCAUGUAUCACUCCAUAUACUGGUCACACUGAAAAAUCUCUCGCAAUGACGAGGCAAGCACACUUCAAUUUUUAAUAUUGUAUUAAGUGGGAAAAUUAGGCCAUAAGUUAGGCCACAAAUAAUGGUGCUUGGCUGGGAAAAAAAUUGUGGUGGUGUUUCCUCCUUAAAGCCUAUAAAUAGGCUCAUCCAUCAAAGUACCUAAUAUCCCAAAAUCAUAUUCGAAGCAAAGCAACAAUAAAGAAGCAAAGCAUUUUUUUGGCUUUUCUAGUUUUCUUGGUUUGUUUCAAGAAAUAAGGUUUUACUUGAGUAAGUGAGUGGUUUGGUUUUGUACUCUAAUUUGUGAGUAAAAUCAACAAGGGUGUAUUUGGGAUUUUAUUGGGAAGUGAGGUUGAGAGUUAAAGAGUGUUCCUCUUGUAUUCCACUUGUUACCUUGUUAGUGAAAAGUGAGAUCUCCCUCCCCUGUGGAUGUAGGCAAAUUGCCGAACCACGCUAAAUUUCUUGUGUUGUUAUUUUCUUUGUUUAUCUUUGCUUUUAUUUUUUAAGUUAUUAACUUUUUAAAUACAUAUCUCACAAUUUGUAUAAUGACACGUCGUGUAUCACACCAUAUAUUGGUCACACUGAAAAAUCUCUCACAAUGAUGAGGCAAGCACACUUCAAUUUUUAAUAUUGUAUUAAGUGGGAAAAUUAGGCCAUAAGUUAGGCCACAAAUAAUGGUGCUUGGUUGAGAAAAAAUUGUAGUGGUGAUUCAUUCUUAAAGCCUAUAAAUAUGCUCCUCCAUCAUAGUACCUAAUAUCCCAUAAUCAUAUUCAAAGCAAAGCAAUAAUAAAGAAGCAAAGCAUUUUUUUGGCUUCUCUAGUUUUUUUGGUUUGUUUCAAGAAAUAAGGUUUUACUUGAGUAAGUGAGGGUUUGGUUUUGUACUCUAAUUUGUGAGCAAAACCAACAAGGGUGUAUUUGGGAUUUUAAUGGGAAGUGAGGUUGAGAGUUAAAAAGUGUUCCUCUUGUAUUCCACUUGUUACCUUGUUAGUAGAAAGUGAGAUCUCCCUCCCGUGUACAUUGAUAGGGAUUUUACUACACAUAUGAACGAGCUAAAAACUUAUAUAAUAC
rnacentral:lncRNA from 1 species